rnacentral:rRNA from 1 species
AUUGAACGCUGGCGGCAUGCUUUACACAUGCAAGUCGAACGGCAGCACGAGUGCUUGCACUUGGUGGCGAGUGGCGGACGGGUGAGUAAUACAUCGGAACGUAUCCUUAAGUGGGGGAUAACGCAUCGAAAGAUGUGCUAAUACCGCAUAUUCUCUGUGGAGGAAAGUAGGGGAUCGAAAGACCUUAUGCUUAUGGAGCGGCCGAUGCCUGAUUAGCUUGUUGGUGGGGUAAUGGCCUACCAAGGCGACGAUCAGUAGUUGGUCUGAGAGGACGACCAGCCACACUGGGACUGAGACACGGCCCAGACUCCUACGGGAGGCAGCAGUGGGGAAUUUUGGACAAUGGGCGAAAGCCUGAUCCAGCAAUGCCGCGUGAGUGAAGAAGGCCUCGGUU